rnacentral:rRNA from 1 species
CCUACGGGAGGCAGCAGUAGGGAAUCUUCCACAAUGGGCGGAAGCCUGAUGCAGCAACGCCGCGUGGGUGAAGAAGGUCUUCGGAUCGUAAAACCCUGUUGUUAGAGAAGAAAGUGCGUGAGCGUAACUGUUCACGUUUCGACGGUAUCUAACCAGAAAGCCACGGCUAACUACGUGCCAGCAGCCGCGGUAAUACGUAGGGGGCAAGCGUUCUCCGGAUUUAUUGGGCGUAAAGGGAACGCAGGCGGUCAUUUAAGUCUGAUGUGAAAGCCUUCGGCUUAACCGGAGUAGUGCAUUGGAAACUGGGAGACUUGAGUGCAGAAGAGGAGAGUGGAACUCCAGGUGUAGCGGUGAAAUGCGUAGAUAUAUGGAAGAACACCAGUGGCGAAAGCGGCUCGCUGGUCUGUAACUGACGCUGAGGCUCGAAAGCGUGGGUAGCAAACAGGAUUAGAUACCCGAGUAGUC